GGGUGCGUAACGCGUAUAUAACUUGCCUCAUACUGGAGAAUAGCCCGGAGAAAUUCGGAUUAAUGCUCCAUAGUAUUAUAAAGUAGCAUUGCUUAAUAAUUAAAGAUUUAUCGGUAUGAGAUAGAUAUGCGUCCCAUUAGCUAGUUGGUGCAGGUAACGGCUCACCAAGGCGACGAUGGGUAGGGGUUCUGAGAGGAAGGUCCCCCACACUGGCACUGAGAUACGGGCCAGACUCCUACGGGAGGCAGCAGUAGGGAAUAUUGGUCAAUGGAGGCAACUCUGAACCAGCCAUGCCGCGUGAACGAUGAAGGCCUUCGGGUCGUAAAGUUCUUUUGUAUGGGAAGAAACCCACCCCUGCGGGGGUGUUUGACGGUACCAUAAGAAUAAGCACCGGCUAACUCCGUGCCAGCAGCCGCGGUAAUACGGAGGGUGCAAGCGUUGUCCGGAAUUAUUGGGUUUAAAGGGUGCGCAGGUGGUCCUGCCAGUCAGAGGUUAAAGACCGGGGCUUAACUCCGUGUUUGCCUUUGAUACUACAGGACUUGAAAUACGUAUGGGUAGGCGGAAUUCCUCAUGUAGCGGUGAAAUGCACAGAUAUGAGGAGGAAGACCGAAGGCGAAGGCAGCUUACUGGGCGUUAUUUGACACUGAGGCACGAAAGCGUGGGGAGCGAACAGGAUUAGAUACCCUGGUAGUCCACGCCGUAA
rnacentral:rRNA from 1 species